CACACAUGAGGAUUGGUUUUGCCGAAAUUGCAAAGCCCCUCCGGUGCCGAAAUCUUCGGCCCACUUCCUCAUGGCGGAUUAACCGGAGAAAGGAUAAAGA
rnacentral:sRNA from 1 species